rnacentral:rRNA from 1 species
GUAAGGAAUAUUGGACAAUGGACGCAAGUCUGAUCCAGCCAUGCCGCGUGAAGGAUUAAGGUCCUCUGGAUUGUAAACUUCUUUUAUAAGGGACGAAAAAAGGCUUUUCUAAGUCGUCUGACGGUACCUUAUGAAUAAGCACCGGCUAACUCCGUGCCAGCAGCCGCGGUAAUACGGAGGGUGCAAGCGUUAUCCGGAAUCACUGGGUUUAAAGGGUGCGUAGGCGGGCAGGUAAGUCAGUGGUGAAAUCCUAGAGCUUAACUCUAGAACUGCCAUUGAUACUAUCUGUCUUGAAUAUUGUGGAGGUAAGCGGAAUAUGUCAUGUAGCGGUGAAAUGCUUAGAUAUGACAUAGAACACCUAUUGCGAAGGCAGCUUACUACGCAUAUAUUGACGCUGAGGCACGAAAGCGUGGGGAUCAAACAGGAUUAGAUACCCUGGUAGUCC